rnacentral:rRNA from 1 species
UACAGAGGGUGCGAGCGUUGUUCGGAAUUAUUGGGCGUAAAGCGCUUGUAGGCGGCCCGGUAAGUCUCGUGUGAAAUCCCUCGGCUCAACCGAGGAAGUGCACGAGAUACUGCCAGGCUGGAGUGCCGGAGAGGGUCGCGGAAUUCCCGGUGUAGAGGUGAAAUUCGUAGAUAUCGGGAGGAACACCAGUGGCGAAGGCGGCGACCUGGACGGACACUGACGCUGAGACGCGAAAGCGUGGGGAG